rnacentral:rRNA from 1 species
UACGGAGGGUGCAAGCGUUAUCCGGAUUCACUGGGUUUAAAGGGUGCGUAGGUGGGUCUGUAAGUCAGUGGUGAAAUCCCCGAGCUUAACUUGGGAACUGCCGUUGAUACUAUAGAUCUUGAAUAUCGUGGAGGUAAGCGGAAUGUGUCAUGUAGCGGUGAAAUGCUUAGAUAUGACAUAGAACACCAAUUGCGAAGGCAGCUUACUACACGAUCAUUGACACUGAGGCACGAAAGCGUGGGGAGCGAACAGG